AUGCUCACUUCGGCAGCACAUAUACUAAAAUUGAAAUGAUACAGAGAAGAUUAGCAUGGUCCCUGCGUAAGGAUGACAUGCAAAUUAAAUUCUCAGGAUAAGUGAUA